rnacentral:rRNA from 1 species
ACAAGGUUACUGACUUCAGCCAAACUCCGAAUGCCGGGAAGUGAGAGCGUGGCAGUGAGACUGUGGGGGAUAAGCUUCAUAGUCGAGAGGGAAACAGCCCAGACCACCGGUUAAGGCCCCUAAGCGUGUGCUAAGUGGGAAAGGAUGUGGAGUUGCUGAGACAACCAGGAGGUUGGCUUAGAAGCAGCCACCCUUGAAAGAGUGCGUAAUAGCUCACUGGUCAAGUGGUCCUGCGCCGACAAUGUAGCGGGGCUCAAGUACACCGCCGAAACCGUGGCAUUCAGUUUUGCUGGAUGGGUAGGGGAGCGUCGUUCACGAGGUGAAGCCAGCGGGUAACUUCUGGUGGAUUGUGGACGAGUGAGAAUGCAGGCAUGAGUAGCGAAAGACGGGUGAGAAACCCGUCCGCCGGAUGACUAAGGGUUCCAGGGUCAAGCUAAUCUGCCCUGGGUAAGUCGGGACCUAAGGCGAGGCCGACAGGCGUAGUCGAUGGACAACGGGUUGAUAUUCCCGUACCAGUGAAGAACCGCCCAUGCUGAGCCGGUGAUACUAACCGCCCGAACCAUCCCGAACCUCGUCUUUGACGGGGACGGUGAUGGGGAGCGCGGGACCUGAACCGGGGAGGCAAGCGCAUUAACAGGUGUGACGCAGGAAGGUAGCCGGGCCGGGCAAUGGAAAUGACCUGGUCUAAGGGUGUAGGGCUGCCGGUAGGUAAAUCCGCCGGCUGUAUGCCUGAGACCUGAUGGGCGCCCACGUGGUGGGUGAUCCGGUGAUCCUAUGCUGCCUAGAAAAGCAUCGGCGUGAGGUUCAAACUGCCCGUACCCUAAAC